rnacentral:rRNA from 1 species
GACGAACGCUGGCGGCGUGCUUAACACAUGCAAGUCGAACGGAAAGGCACUGCUUUUGUGGGGUGCUCGAGGGGCGAACGGGGGAGUAACACGUGAGUAACCUGCCCUAGACUUUGGGAUAACUUCAGGAAACUGGGGCUAAUAUCGGAUAGGAGCUCCUGCUGCAUGGUGGGGGUUGGAAAGUUGCGGCGGUUGGGGUUGGACGGGCGGAUGAUCAGCUUGUUGGUGGGGGAGGGGCAUGCCAAGGGAUGGACGGGUAGCCGACCUGAGAGGGUGACCGGCGUCAAGGGUACUACGGGAGGGAGCAGUCGCGAAUGGGAGGCAGUGGUGGGAAGUCUUGCACAGUCGGCCGAAGUCUGUGAAAGAGGCCUUCGGGUCGGAAUGACGGUCUUUGGGGUAUAAACCGCUGUCGCCUGUUACGAAGCUGUAGUGACGGUAAUGAGUAAAGAAGCACCGGCUAACUACGUG